GUGGGGAAUAUUGGACAAUGGGCGCAAGCCUGAUCCAGCCAUGCCGCGUGAGUGAUGAAGGCCCUAGGGUUGUAAAGCUCUUUCACCGGUGAAGAUAAUGACGGUAACCGGAGAAGAAGCCCCGGCUAACUUCGUGCCAGCAGCCGCGGUAAUACGAAGGGGGCUAGCGUUGUGCGGAAUUACUGGGCGUAAAGCGCACGUAGGCGGACAUUUAAGUCAGGGGUGAAAUCCCGGGGCUCAACCCCGGAACUGCCUUUGAUACUGGGUGUCUGGAGUAUGGAAGAGGUAAGUGGAAUUCCGAGUGUAGAGGUGAAAUUCGUAGAUAUUCGGAGGAACACCAGUGGCGAAGGCGGCUUACUGGUCCAUUACUGACGCUGAGGUGCGAAAGCGUGGGGAGCAAACAGGAUUAGAUACCCGAGUAGUCC
rnacentral:rRNA from 1 species